AUUGAACGCUGGCGGCAGGCCUAACACAUGCAAGUCGAACGGUAACAGGAAGCAGCUUGCUGCUUUGCUGACGAGUGGCGGACGGGUGAGUAAUGUCUGGGAAACUGCCUGAUGGAGGGGGAUAACUACUGGAAACGGUAGCUAAUACCGCAUAACGUCGCAAGACCAAAGAGGGGGACUUUCGGGCCUCUUGCCAUCGGAUGUGCCCAGAUGGGAUUAGCUAGUAGGUGGGGUAACGGCUCACCUAGGCGACGAUCCCUAGCUGGUCUGAGAGGAUGACCAGCCACACUGGAACUGAGACACGGUCCAGACUCCUACGGGAGGCAGCAGUGGGGAAUAUUGCACAAUGGGCGCAAGCCUGAUGCAGCCAUGCCGCGUGUAUGAAGAAGGCCUUCGGGUUGUAAAGUACUUUCAGCGGGGAGGAAGGGAGUAAAGUUAAUACCUUUGCUCAUUGACGUUACCCGCAGAAGAAGCACCGGCUAACUCCGUG
rnacentral:rRNA from 1 species